GGAGGAUACAGCUCAGUGGUAGAGCGCAUGCUUAGCAUGUACAAGGUCCUGGGUUCAAUCCUCAGUACCUCCA
rnacentral:tRNA from 1 species